UUCCGUAGACCGCAGACACACAUGCAUGGCUGUGUCAGCUCGGUCGUGAGAUGUUGGGUUAAGUCCCGCCCGAGCGCAACCCACUCCUUAGUUCUCCAUUAGUGAGCACUCUAAGGAGACUUCCGGUGAUAACCGCGGGAAGGGGGGGGACGUCAAGUCUCCAUCCCCUUACGGGCUGGGCUACACCUCGCUACAAUGGCGGUGACAAUGGGAUGCUAAGGGGCGACCCUUCCCAAAUCUCAAAAAGCCGUCUCAGUUCGGAUUGGGCUCUGCAACUCGAGCCCAUGAAGUUGGAAUCGCUAGUAAUCGUGGAUCAGCACGCCACGGUGAAUACGUUCCCGGGCCUUGUACACACCGCCCGUCACACCAUGGGAGUUGGUUUUACCAGAAGACGUGCUUUAUCCGCAAGCCGGCCCGGGCCU
rnacentral:rRNA from 1 species